UGACAUAGCAGCAGUCAGCAUCCGUAG
rnacentral:piRNA from 1 species